UCUGGCGAUGACGACACACUUGCCCUCACUGAGAACAGCGUUCGCUGAUAGAGAGCAGUUUUUAUGCGCUCAGUGGAGCUGAGCCAGA